rnacentral:sRNA from 1 species
AAUUACAAUUAUGAGAGGACUGAUGGAUGGACAAUGAUUAACUAAACUAUAUUUUUAUUUGAAAUGAAUAACUUCAAACUACAAAAUAUAGGAUUAGUCUGUCCAUUUUUAUAAAUCAGUUUAAACUUUAUUUGUCAUGAUUCCAAUGGCAAAAAAGAACUUAUUUAGUAUAAGUGAAAGACUAAUCCUUCCAAUGACAAAUUGGGAGGAUUUUUAU